UGGCUGAUAUACUAUGGCUUCUCUGUCUCUUGACUUUCUUUUCCUUUCAGUCCUGUGCAUUUAUUUUCAAACAAGCAAAAAGUAAGAAUUGGAUACUAGAGCAUGGAGAUGGAGGUUUAUAAAGCCUACUUUUUGCUAACAACCAUAAACUACAAGUUUUAUUAUAGCCCAGUUUUUCUUGUUGAUUUAUUUAAACCUUUCAUAUUUUAAGCUCAGGUUCCAGCGUUUCACAGUCAUACACACCCUACCUUUACCAGAACGUCUUCACUGGAAAAUACUGUUGUGGGAGUCUCACUCCUGAUCCUCUGCAGGAGCUGGAGGGCCAUCUGGUUCCCACAGGCCGUCCUACAUCCUCCUCCAGUCAGGCCAGCACUGUUCUGGCACUCCUACUCUCCACACGUGUGUAUGAGUGCGCAUGUGAGUGAGUGUGUGUGUGUGUACGUGUUUGUGUGUGGUCCAGAUUGGAUGACGGCACUGAUGACACAGUCAUUCCUGUGGGUGGCUUGUUUUUCCAAGGUUACAGCACUCCCACCCCACCUGUGGACAGAUCUGAGAGAGAUGCUGAGUGGGCUUUCAGUGAGAUACUCAUCUCUCCCUGCGAAUUAGAGGAGCUGUGCCGCUGAGGGGACAGCAUUCAAACCUCCCCUUAGAGACGGAGGGUAGAAGAGGGCCCUUUUUAUAUAAUUUGGACUCGUGCAAUGAAAACAGAGCAGCAGCUAUGAACUGAUUUCAUCGCAUUUCCUGGUAUUGAUUUUUGUUUAAUUCAAAGAUAUUCAGCACGGUGUGAGAAAAGCAAGAAAAGACCGUUUUCAUUUACUUGAAUAGCAAAUAGAUAAUCCAAACAACCGCUUAAUACUUUCCCAUAAAUCAAUUAGCUCUUUCUAUUCAGUUUGCCCAGACUUGUUCAAUGGAUUAUUUUCAAACUGCGUCAUCAUUCGUGAAGAGUAUUACAAAUAUUUUCAGAAACAGUCGAAUUUCCUGGAGCUCAAGAUAACAUCUUUGGGUUUUUCCACUGAAGUGUCGUUACAGCUGCGACUAUUAGUUGAUGAAGUGUUGAAAGAAAAUCCAACCAUAGUAAAUUCUUACUUAAUAAGAUGGUUUCAUUUGUUUUAAGACAUUUAGGGAGUUUUGAAUGGUUACAGGUGCCUGAAUGUGAGAAAUGGCAGCUUUCUCUUGGUGCUAAAUUCAAUUGACCUUGAUGGUUUUUGUUUUUUUUAUGUGUUAGAUAAGAGGAGAUGUAUUUAAUCUCUUUGGAAAGUCUAAAUUCAAGAUCUUUUUAGCCGUUUUUAAUCACUGCUUUCCCGUGUUUUGAUUUUACUCUUUAUUUUUUGCUCAUUCAUCUCCUGUAAAGCGUAUUGAGUUGACAUUAGUAUGAAAUAUGCUACACAAAUUGUAGUUGAACUGAAUUUACCGAUGAGGUAACCUUCUCCUUUGUGAAAUUGUUUUUUAAUCUUUCUGUUGCUUGGAAAAAUAAUCAGCGAAUGAAAGGAUGGUGCUUUAAAAGGAGAAUGCAAAGAAAACCAGCUGAAGUUCUCCACACUCAUCGUGUUUUUGCAGUCUAAUUAUGAAAUCAUUGGUGAUUAAUUUUUUUGACAGAACACUAAUCAAUGAAUCCAAAUAGCUCCAAACAUGUUGCUUCAAAGAGGCAGCAUGUGUGAGGGUAUUUUGUGGACACUGAGCGCUCGUAGUCAAGAGUGGACUGUCCUGUCAGGACGAGGGUGCGGCUGCUUCAGCCGUGCAGCUGUGAUACCCAUCUGAGCAGCUGAAUUUUCCACUGGGGGCUCUAAUUUACCGCUUUGGGGCUUCAGCUGCCUUGAGUGUAAUUUAUCUGUGGGCCGGCUCAAAUGAGAGUCCUGACACAAGAUGGAUGAGGAGGACAGGGGCUGCCUCGGCUCUGCUCACUGGUCCAUAGACGGGCUCUCUUUACAUUGGAGGUAUAAUAAAUGAUGUUUGGUUUUACCCUGGAGGCUGGAUUACUGACGUUUCCUUACAUGAGACAGAGACUUAUGUGAAUAGAUUCAAUGCAGACGUGUAGGACUGCAACAGGCUCGAGUGUGGUUUGUUUACUAGUCUGCUUCUUCUCUCCAGCCUACAUGUAGCUCCACAAUGAGUAGCAGAAUUUAUUGUUCAAUGUCGGCACAGAUGCUAGUGGGCUGAAGAUGAACAUAACUCUGAGUAACACACUAUCAAGUGUGAACUCAUAAAUAUUUCAAAGGAGUCUUCCUGGAAGGUCAAAAGCAGGAUUCAAUCUCCUCUAAAUCAGUCAUUGAGUGAGUUGCCUGCUAUCAUUGAGGCUGAUGAGGGUCUGAUGAACACAAGACUGCAGCCCCUGCAUGGUUUCAUCGACCCGGGCACGCUGCCUGGCCCCUGCAGCCAAUCAAAGCUCAUUACCCAUUCUCUCGGUCCCCCCAGCCCCACCCCCACUCCCACCACGAGACCCCUGACUGCCCAUACUAAUGUGAUACAGAGCAAACCAGAUGCUGCUGGGCAGCAGAGAGAGGAUUUCAAAGGUUAAGUCACAACAGCAUGACCCACAUCAGCGCUCAGCUCACAGGGCUCAGUGAGGACACCGCUGCUCCAACGCCUAUGGGGGUUAGGUCAUGUGGUGCGUCUGCCUGUGCAUACCGUACAGUUUAAGCACUGAGGCAUCCAGAUUUAGCAUAAUAACCAGAUUAUUGAAGCCAAAAGUGCUGCGCUGAUUUAUGUCCGAGCAUUGGCCCUGCACAGAAGAGAUGUUUAUGUGCAGGGACAGCACACACACACACACAUUCACAAACACACACACUCUAUGUGCUCCAGUGUGUGAUGGUAUGCAGCACUAUCAACAAAGGACGUCGGGGAGAGCCAUAAAGCCAGCCUGUGUGGAUGAGAGCAGAUGUAUUGUAGGAUACCUCUGUGGGCAGUAGGAGCCACGUCACUCCUCUUCUCAUAGCAACAGUACAGUUGACCUACAUGCUUUCUUACACAGCCCACUCCGCCUGAGGUGCUGGAAAACAUGCAAAUCCAUCACAGAUAUUGACUUCUUUUUUGCAUUUUGAAUAUGGACACAUGCUCCAAAAUGGAUAUGGCAUAUCCCAUCUGUAUCAUCAUGCAAGCAUAUAAGCCUCCAUCCUGCAGGAAAAAAGGGUGCUCAAAAAUGUAAUGCGGUGUCAAAUUAAAACUGCAUACAACAAAGUGCUUUCCCCAUCAAUCAUUGGCUGUUUUAUUGAGUGUUAGGUGAUACAGAAAUAAUAAAAAAAUACAGGCUCUAGCUCAGAAUACAACCACAAGCCACUGAAAGGAAGUGAAUUAAGGCUUUAAAUACAACAGUGUGGCUGCAGCAGCAGGGUGUUAUUACCUGGAGAAACCGUGUAAACAGCGUUGAAAGAAAGCAGGGCUGCUUUUCUCCCCCCUCGGCUGGAGUGGAGACACCAGCACUAGCAAGGCAGUAGCUUGCGCAGUCAUCUCCAUAGCGGGCAGUGUCACAACCCAACCAACAGCACAAACUACUACCUCAGCCAGUGCGUGGUGAAACGUCGAGAGGAAGAAGAAGAAGAAGAAGAAACAAAGGGGGUUUAAAACGAGGAAAAAAUGCAGUGGAGGUAUAAAACAAUGCACCGUCCGUGUCGACAUUCCCAUGCAGCCGGAGCUGGUCCGUCCUCUCCUCCUCUUCUCCCGCUUCCCUCCCUCCUCCUCCUCUUCUGUGCAGACUUGAAAUAAGAGGGAAACCCCGCCCUAGCAGACCUGCUCCCUUUCGCUCUCCUCCUCCUCCUCCUCUUCCUCCUCCCGCUCCCUCUUCCUCCUCUCCUUCUACAGUAUAC